rnacentral:rRNA from 1 species
CCUACGGGUGGCUGCAGUGAGGAAUAUUGGUCAAUGGCCGAGAGGCUGAACCAGCCAAGUCGCGUGAGGGAAGAAUGUCCUAUGGAUUGUAAACCUCUUUUGUCAGGGAGCAAAGUCACCCACGUGUGGGUGUUGGAGAGUACCUUAAGAACAAGCAUCGGCUAACUCCGUGCCAGCAGCCGCGGUAAUACGGAGGAUGCGAGGUUUAUCCGGAUUUGUUGGGUUUAAGGGGUGCGUAGGCGGGUUAUCAAGGCAGCGGUAAAACCCAGGAGCUCAACACCAUCCAGCCGUGGAAACUGAGGAUCUUGAGUGGGCGAGAAGUAUGCGGAAUGCGUGGUGUAGCGGUGAAAUGCAUAGAUAUCACGAAGAACUCCGAUUGCGAAGGCAGCAUACCGGAGCGCGACUGACGCUGAAGCACGAAAGCGUGGGUAUCGAACAGGAUUAGAUACCCUUGUAGUC